rfam:Schistosoma margrebowiei strain Zambia genome assembly, scaffold: SMRZ_scaffold0005319
GCACUGCUGAGGAGUCCCACACUAGGACGAAACGGCCGUCCAAUGC